UUGACCUCGGAUUAGGUAGGAAUACCCGCUGAACUUAAGCAUAUCAAUAAAGCGGA
rnacentral:rRNA from 1 species